rnacentral:rRNA from 1 species
GACGGACCACCCGAACGUUAUUCGGAAUCACUGGGCUUAAAGGGUGCGUAGGCGGCGUAGUAAGUCGGGUGUGAAAUCCCCCAGCUUAACUGGGGAAUUGCGCCCGAAACUGUUGCGCUCGAGGGAGACAGAGGUGAGCGGAACUGAUGGUGGAGCGGUGAAAUGCGUUGAUAUCAUCAGGAACACCGGUGGCGAAAGCGGCUCACUGGUCCGGUACUGACGCUGAGGUGCGAAAGCGUGGGGAGCAAACAGG